rnacentral:rRNA from 1 species
UACGUAGGGGGCAAGCGUUUAUCCGGGAAUCAUUGGGCGUAAAGCGCGUGUAGGCGGUUCCGUAAGUCCGCUCUGGAAGGCCCAGGGCUCAACCCUGGGAGGCGGGUGGAUACUACGGAACUGGAGUACGGAAGAGGAGAUUGGAAUUCCUGGUGUAGCGGUGAAAUGCGCAGAUAUCAGGAGGAACACCGGUGGCCGAAGGCGGCUCACUGGUCCGGUACUGACGCUGAGGUGCGAAAGCGUGGGGAGCAAACAGG